CGCAGCUGAUCCAGCCAUGCCGCGUGUGUGAAGAAGGCCUUAUGGUUGUAAAGCACUUUAAGCGAGGAGGAGGCUACUUUAGAUAAUACCUAGAGAUAGUGGACGUUACUCGCAGAAUAAGCACCGGCUAACUCUGUGCCAGCAGCCGCGGUAAUACAGAGGGUGCAAGCGUUAAUCGGAUUUACUGGGCGUAAAGCGCGCGUAGGCGGCUAAUUAAGUCAAAUGUGAAAUCCCCGAGCUUAACUUGGGAAUUGCAUUCGAUACUGGUUAGCUAGAGUGUGGGAGAGGAUGGUAGAAUUCCAGGUGUAGCGGUGAAAUGCGUAGAGAUCUGGAGGAAUACCGAUGGCGAAGGCAGCCAUCUGGCCUAACACUGACGCUGAGGUGCGAAAGCAUGGGGAGCAAACAGGAUUAGAUACCCUGGUAGUCCAUGCCGUAAACGAUGUCUACUAGCCGUUGGGGCCUUUGAGGCUUUAGUGGCGCAGCUAACGCGAUAAGUAGACCGNCUGGGGAGUACGGUCGCAAGACUAAAACUCA
rnacentral:rRNA from 1 species